CUUGUUUGUUUCGAUCUGAGGUGAUCCGGCAUUGAUCGAUCGAUUGAUCUUGUCUUGCUUGGAUAUCGUUGCUAGGGUUUGGAGGAUCGUCCAUGGAGAAGCAGGAGCUCGCUCUGGAGAUUCUACACUCUACCUCCGUCCAGGACCUGGUGAGAGACAAGGGAAGGCUUGUGGAGGUCCCAUACACCGCGACGGUGGGCGACACACUCAAUGUGUUGCUCGCCAAGAACAUCCUGGCCGUGCCAGUGGCGGCGCCGCCCGGGCACUGGAUCGGCGCCGGCGGUUCCAUGGUCGUGGAAUCGGACAAGAGCAGCGGAGUGCCGCGGAAGCAGUACAUUGGAAUGGUGAGCGUGCUCGACAUUCUCAUCCAUGUCGCAGAGCGAGAGGAUGGCAGCUGCGAGAGGCUCCAGACUGCCAUCUCCAAGAUCAUCGGGCAUUCCUUGGAAGGAUUGAGCCUCUGGAGCAUUGCUCCUCACACCUCGUUGGCUGACACUAUGGAGCCCAUGAGCAAGGGAAUUCACCGGGCUCUAGUUCCAGUUUCUAGCGCGAUGGAUCACGUCUCUGGUGUGGAGCUAGUCGAAUCGUCUCCCGGGUAUCAUAUGCUCACUCAAACGGACGUGAUGGCGUUCUUGCUCGUCCACUCGCAGCAGCUGGAGCCUUUGAUGUCGACUGAUAUCGGCAGCCUCGGAGCGGUGAACAAGAACGUUUAUGCCGCUCCCGCGGACAUGAGGGUGAUGGACGCAGUGAGGGCGAUGCGCUUUGCGUUCCUGACGGCGGUGGCGAUCGUUGAUCCAUCGCCGGUGGCGCAGCUUGCAACUCAGCUAGUAGCGGGUGAUGGAAGACGGUUGCUUGGGACAUUCUCGGCCAGUGAUUUGAGAGGCUGCAACUCGGACGUGUUGACAAAGUGGGCCUCGCUAUCAGUCCUCGAGUUUUCGCACAAGGCGUUCCUCGCGAGGCGGUUUGGAUUCGGGGCCGCAUGCAUCGAGGCUGUCGACCAGACAGCAGCAUCGCUCGAUCCUCAGCAAAAGCCGCUUAUCACUUGCCAGCCGUCGGCAUCGCUCAGGGAGGUUAUCUCCAAGGCCCUGGAGAACAGAGUCCAUCAGUUGUGGGUUGUGGACGACGCAGGCUCCCUGCUGGGCAUGGUGGCUUUCACAGACAUACUUAAGGCUGUCCGACAGGCCUCCAAAAGGCAGUGAUCCAACAAACAGAUACACAGGGAAAAAGAAGCGAAGGAAAAGAAUUGGAAGAGGAAAAGGAGUUAUGACAGCAACAACCAAACCGAUCACUUAGUGCUGCUGCUACGUUUUGGUGUUACGGUUUCUCGCCGAGCCUUGAAUGCAAUCUAGCUGGAAGAAAUCGGCCGCGCAUCAACGUAUCUAUCAAGCGGGACUGCUUCGUCGUCUUCUCCUUCGGACACAGUAAGAAAAGUUGUGAAGGUGUUGUUCGUCGUCUCUCAUCCAGAGCCGCUUUUAUGGAACCGGGUUCGUUCUUGUGCUCUUAAAAUCAUCUAUCGAUCAUCGAUCGUAUUUGAUGCAA